GACCUCGGAUCAGGCGGGGCUACCCGCUGAACUUAAGCAUAUCAAUAAGCGGAGGAAAAGAAACCAACAGGGAUUGCCCUAGUAACGGCGAGUGAAGCGGCAACAGCUCAAAUUUGAAAUCUGGCUCUUUUAGAGUCCGAGUUGUAAUUUGCAGAGGGCGCUUUGGCUUUGGCAGCGGUCCAAGUUCCUUGGAACAGGACGUCACAGAGGGUGAGAAUCCCGUACGUGGUCGCUGGCUAUUGCCGUGUAAAGCCCCUUCGACGAGUCGAGUUGUUUGGGAAUGCAGCUCUAAAUGGGAGGUAAAUUUCUUCUAAAGCUAAAUAUUGGCCAGAGACCGAUAGCGCACAAGUAGAGUGAUCGAAAGAUGAAAAGCACUUUGGAAAGAGAGUCAAACAGCACGUGAAAUUGUUGAAAGGGAAGCGCUUGCAGCCAGACUUGC
rnacentral:rRNA from 1 species